UUUGAAACGCAGGUUCCCGUAAGAUCACCGAGGUUAAGCAAUGUCGAGUUUGGUCAGUUCCUAGAUGGGUGACCCUUUGGGAAUAUGAGGUAACGUA